AAAUAGACGCAUAAAUAGAUAUUGAAUAUAACAGUUUGUAGAACCUCGUCACUUUAAAAUGGUUCUUUUGUAUUUUAUCCUAUUUGCUGGACUCAUUGAGGCUCGCAUUGUGAGGACACCGCUGGGCGAUGUCAUCGGAUCGGUGCAGACAUCCCGUGCGGGGAGAAAGUAUUACUCUUUUAUGAAGAUACCGUAUGCCAAACCUCCUGUUGGAAAUCUGCGCUUCAGGAAUCCUGAGCCAAGAGGCGCUUGGUAUGGUCUACGAGAUGGGAGGGAGAGGCCGCCAUUUUGCUCACAGUUAAUAAUUUUCUCACCAAGAAUACCAAAAUAUGUAAUGGGUGAAGAAGAUUGCCUCUAUCUCAACAUAUUUUCUCUCAGUCACAAACAAGGAAUGAAGAUGUCCGUGAUGGUGUAUUUUGUUGGGGACAAUUUUCGAUUUGGAAUGGCAAACGAGCCAGGCCUGGGAAAUUAUCUCAUUGAUGAAGAAGUGAUCCUCGUUGUGGUGCAGCACAGGUUGGGCGCACUCGGUUUUCUCAGUCUUGAAGAUGAUAUAAUCCCCGGCAACUUCGGUCUCAAGGACCAAGCCCUCGCACUCGACUGGAUCAAACAGUACAUCAAGUAUUUCGGGGGGAAUCCAAACAGUAUUACAGUCUUUGGCGAUGGGUCUGGAGGAGCGAGCGCACAUUUUCUAGCUGUUUCACACAUGACAAAGGACAUUGUAAAAGCCGUCAUAUCUCAGGGGGGAGUUGCCAAUGAUAUCUGGGCCUUGGCGAAACCAGGGAAGGCAAAGGAGACAGCAGAAAAAGCCCUCCUGAUGCUCGGUUGCUCUGGUGCAUCAUACAAAAUUCUUAGCUGUUUAAGGGAUAAAAAUGCCUCUGAAAUUAUGAAGACUGAAUAUGAACUCAUCUAUUGGGACAUGGAACCCAAUGUGGUCUUCCAGCCGGUAGUGGAGAAAUAUAAAGCUGGCUCCUUCCUCUAUGAGAAUCCUUUGAAUUCCAAUACCAGCUUUCCUUGGUUGGUCGGGUUUACAUCGGAUGAGGGCCAAUAUAAGAUUUAUUCGAUGGAGAGCCAACGCUACGAUGAGUUUAAGCCAUUUUUGAACAAUUUAGAUUCUUUUAUAAAAAAGAUGUUCUACCCAGCAAAUGAAUCGCAGAAACUCGACGAGACUGUGAGGAUGAUCCGACAACGAUAUUUUCCAAAAAUCAAUGAUAAACAGAAAAUGCUAACAGGAUUGAAAGAUUUUUAUGGUUUCUUGAAUUAUGUUGUACCAACAUUCCAAGCACUGAGGAGACAUGUUGGUCAGAGCUACCUUUAUGUGUUUGAUUUCAGAUUCACAUCCUCACCACACUCUGCUUCGCCAAGAUAUGGAUUCAAGGGGGCACCCCAUGCUGAGGAAACGGUAGCCCUGUUCGACUGGACGGAUCCGCUCGAUAUGAGAGAAGAACAAAAAGUGUCACGUGAGGUGACAAAAAUGUGGGCCAACUUUGCAAAAUAUCAGAAACCUACAAUAGAGCUAACGCUGCAGUGGCCACAGUUUAUAAACGAAAAGUACUUGCUUAUCAGAGAAAACAUCACUGCUGAGAAAUUCUAUAGGAAAAUUUGGCCCCUUCAGCCUUUGAAACUAACCCAGCAAUUACCAGUCUGUCCACUAAAUUGUUGUUAGUAGUUCGUUUGAGGUAGGAUCUUCAGUGAUAGUGUCAAACUUCUCUUUGUCAUCUAGCCCUGAGGGUAGCAGUAUAAAAUGCCGAAAGCCAGAUGAACUCAAAAAAGUCCACUUCAUCAUGACUUAUGAAGAACCUCAAAAAAUUCUAAUUUAUAAAAUUAUUAAGCAGAGUUUCUAGAUUAUACAAAUGUAUGGGGAUUCUUGUUUCAAGUGGCCAUUAAUAAUUUUGGUAGAUUUUAAUUUUAUGAAAGAGCAUUGAAAAAUUACUUUAU